AAGUCGUAACAAGGUAACCGUAGGUGAACCUGCGGUUGGAUCAUUAAUGAAAUAUUUUGCUUUGUUCUUUCUUGGCAGCAGGGUUUCUAGGAACCCGGCAACCAAGGAGGGCCUAGCAAAAGACCCCCCUUGUGAACUGUUUACUUGUAACCUUGGCAGCCCGACAAAGAAAAGAAGCGUGUGGUUUUGAAGUUAUUGCUUUUAUGGCGAUGGCUUUUGGAUCGCAUGUUUGUUUUUUGGGAAAUUCCAAGUUUAGGCUUGCCCUUUUCCAUCCCGGGCUGUCAAUUAAACACACCAAAUGUUAUGUCUAUUUUUUUAUGUCACCACGAAGGAAAGUCUAUUAAUAGAUCUUCUUUUAUAAAAUAAAUGAUUUAAACAACUUUUGACAACGGAUCUCUUGGCUCUC
rnacentral:misc_RNA from 1 species